rnacentral:lncRNA from 10 species
UGUGAGGCUACCUGAAGGGAGACCACGUCUUCCGAGAAAUCUAAUCACCAGCUGCCUACAACUUCCCCAAACACCCACCUGAACACUGUUUUACUCCUGACCACCCUCACUCUGCAGAAUCACAUGACAGCCCAACAUUGUUACUUCACCUAGUGGCAAAUCCAAGAACCUUCUUGUAGGGUCUGGAUUGGGACCCUUUUCUGGUAACAUCUUCCUGGUGACCAUGAAGGGACAAUACUGAAGAGACCCCUGACCCUAAGGAAAUAGACUGCAGCACCAAUGGGCCAACUUUGGUGAUCUCUGGCUGCUGCUCAGAAGAAACAAGAGGGAGGGAUGAAUAAUGUAAAACUCUGGAUCAAUAUUCUAAUUCUGAGCCUCUAUUGGAAUCAGCUAGCAACCACAUAUCAGCUUGGUUUCAACAGUUUCCCAGUUCAUGCUGCUGAGAAGUUCAGAGUCAAACCUGAAUCUCACCUCUGCAAAGAGCACAGGACUCCAUGGCAAACGUUGUAUAUACGCAAGUCAUCCCUGGCACCACAUUGAUUUACUGCACCAGGCUUUCUUCAUUGUGAUGAUGUUCUCUCUCUUUUCUAAAAAAAAAAUAAAAAUAAAAUUUAAAAAAUCC